rnacentral:other from 1 species
AUUUCCCUGCCUGCGCUCGUGAUUGGAAACCACGUCCUUUGACCGUAAAUUGCAGACAUGGGACACCCGCUCGGUUGAUGGCCGACAGGCCUUCAUUGGAAGUCGAAAUUCCACCGGCGCGUUCCAUUUUAGACCCAAGCAGUUCAAAGGAACUGUUGCACACGGCACGGGUGGGGAUGCU